rnacentral:tRNA from 1 species
AGUGGGGUAGAGCAAACGGUAGCUCAUCAGUUUCAUAAGCUGAAGAUUGGUGGUUCGAUUCCAUCCCCCACUU